rnacentral:rRNA from 1 species
GACGAACGCUGGCGGCGUGCCUAAUACAUGCAAGUAGAACGCUGAAGAGAGGAGCUUGCUCUUCUUGGAUGAGUUGCGAACGGGUGAGUAACGCGUAGGUAACCUGCCUUGUAGCGGGGGAUAACUAUUGGAAACGAUAGCUAAUACCGCAUAACAAUGGAUGACACAUGUCAUUUAUUUGAAAGGGGCAAUUGCUCCACUACAAGAUGGACCUGCGUUGUAUUAGCUAGUAGGUGAGGUAAUGGCUCACCUAGGCGACGAUACAUAGCCGACCUGAGAGGGUGAUCGGCCACACUGGGACUGAGACACGGCCCAGACUCCUAUGGGAGGCAGCAGUAGGGAAUCCUCGGCAAUGGGGGCAACCCUGACCGAGCAACGCCGCGUGAGUGAAGAAGGUUUUCGGAUCGUAAAGCUCUGUUGUAAGUCAAGAACGGGUGUGAGAGUGGAAAGUUCACACUGUGACGGUAGCUUACCAGAAAGGGACGGCUAACUACGUG